rnacentral:rRNA from 1 species
UACAGAGGUCCCAAGCGUUGUUCGGAUUCAUUGGGCGUAAAGGGUGCGUAGGCGGCGCGGUAAGUCGGGUGUGAAAUCUUGGAGCUUAACUCCGAAACUGCAUUCGAUACUGCCGUGCUUGAGGACUGGAGAGGAGACUGGAAUUUACGGUGUAGCGGUGAAAUGCGUAGAUAUCGUAAGGAAGACCAGUGGCGAAGGCGGCAUCCUGGACCGACAUUGACGCUGAACGGCGAAAGCUAGGGGAGCAAACGGG